rnacentral:tRNA from 2 species
AGGGAUGUAGUUCAGUGGAUGAACACUUGCCUCGUAGGUUGGAGGCUCUAGGUUCAGUUCCUAGUGCCCCUU